UCCAUUCUUAUGCUGCUAAUUAAGACAUACUCAAGACUGGGUAAUUUAUAAAGGAAAGAGGUUUAAUUUACUCACAAUUCAACAUGGCUGGGGAGGCCUCAGGAAACCUACAAUCAUGGCAGAAGGGGAAGCAAACACGUCCUUCUUCACAUGGUGGGAGCAAGGAGAACUGCCUAACAAAAGAAGGGAAAACUGUUUCUAAACCAUCAGCUCUCGGAAGAACACACUGUCAUGAGAACAGCAGCAUGCAGAUUCAGGACCUUGCUCUGCUGUCCAGGCUAGAGUGCAAUGGCAUCAUCAUCGCUGACUGCAGCCCUAAACUCCAGGGCCCAAGGGUUCAAGCAAUCCUCCUACCUCAACAGGCACAUGCCACUGCACCAGCGUAAUUAAAAAAACGCUUUUUUUUUCAUGGAUGAUGUCUUGCUUGAUUCAUUCACAUUAAGUAUUCCCACACCCUCACUUUUCCAGUCUCUUCAUUCUGAAGCUUGUUGAAUGCCUUGUUACUUUUACGGUUUCAUUAAAGUCACAAUGCUCAGCCCACCGUUUUGUGGAAAGAGAUAGGAGGUGCCUUCAGGAAAUUUCAAGCCACCUGGGACAUUGAAGCCACCUGCUUCUCUGAAGCUUCUUUUUGGGGUUUACAUUGCCUUGAGUAGUGACUUGUCACUUCCCACCUUCAGUAGGUGGGAAGGAGUGAAUGGGCACGGUGCCCACACAUCCUCUUACACAGUUAAUAAUAGUUAAAGAAGAAAAAGAGGCCCUGCUAACUCAUUAUGGUUGAAUUUAAUAAAUUUUCUAGCCAUGAUUAAAUGACCUUUUUUUUUUCUGUCUUUAUUCUUUCUCUUGAUUCCCUUUAUAGGCACAGUGACGUCACUAGCACCUGUUUUUCUGAACAGUUAAUUUUUUUGACACAAAUGUACUCUUAAGUGCAAAAACUAUAGAGUUCCUGUACUUUCUUCCAUUAUAUUAAUAUCUUCCAUAACUGUACAGCGCUGCAUUAACAUCCUCUCUAGCCACAAUACCUUGAUCGAAACAAAGAAGUGCAUCUUGUUAUAACACUGUUAGCUUUUUAAAGUUAAUAAACUAUGAUCACUUAGAUUUCACCUAAUGCCGUUUUUUCUGGUCUGUGACCCAGUCUGAGAACUCACAUUAGGUUCAGCUAUCACAACUCGUUAGUCUCCUCUAAUUUGGAACAGGUCCUCAUUCUCUCCUUGUCUUUCAUAACCUUGACACUUGCCAGGAGUACUGCUCAGUUAUCAGAAAACAAUAAACAACCUCAAUUUGGGUUUAUUUAUCAUUUUCUCACGAUUAUGCUGAAGUUACGCACCAAUGGGAAGGAUACUAGGAAAGUGAUGGGUCCUUCUUAAUGCAUCCUAUCAAGGGUGCGUGUCAAUGUGUAUAUAUUACUUACAAUGCUAGUCACAAUACGUCGGCUUAGAUGAUGUCAGCCAAGAUGCUCUACUCUAACGUUAACUAUUCUUCCAUUUGUAAUUACUACAUAUUUCAAGGGAGAUACAUUGAGACUACACAAAUGCCCUAUUUGGACUUAAACUUUUACGUCAGGCUACCCAAGGCCUGGUCUUCUAUGAAUAUAAAACUGAUGUUCUUAGGUUACCUAAACUAUCAAGCACCCUCCCCCUUUACCUAAAGCAAACGUCUUUCACAAGGUCAGCUUAGAGGGUUGCCAGCAAGGUUUCAGUUUCCUUCUGGUUUCAGAUUCAUAUCAAUUACUUCCUACUGUCUUAUAAACUCAGUUAAAACACUGAAUGGAGUGCUUGUUAUACUUUAUCCAGCAUUUCUCUGCGUUUUGUAAUGGGGAUUAUCUCUUCAGAUUAACUCUGCUAGCAACGUGCUGAAAAUGAUUAUUGCUUUACCCACCUGCGUACACUGACACCAACAUACAUUUAUUUUCUCAAGGCCCUCAUUGUGAUACUUAUGUUUUCUAAACUUUUCUUGAUUUGUGAACUUUUUCAUGUGAAAAGACAAUUGUGUAAAAAUUAAAUUCUUGUUACACCUUUAGUCAAUCACUGUCAUUUUUUUAAAGAAUAAAAUUAAGACAAUCACAGGAAGUCCUGGGCAUAUGUUGUUUGCGUCUACAGCACAUGAAUCACAUAGCUCAGCUUCUCCAUUUCUGUUCAGGGCACGUAUUUCCUGCAACACAGCUACAUCUCUGGACACUGAGUUCUACUCUUUUAUUUGAUGAUGAUGAUGAUGAUGAUGAAGACAAUAUCAGGAAAUACCUACUAUUUCCAAAUGACAAAUAGAGAACAGAGGUACAGGUAGACUUAACGAAACAGUUCUUUAAUAAUGGUUCUGUCAUCCCUUACUGCUAUUCUAUUACAUUGCCCAUAUUUGACUUAUACACUGGGACCCUGUCAGCAUGCUUCUUCCAUAGAGCUAUUUUUUUGACUGGUACCAUCUGUCAUUAUAGCUCAUCCUCCAUACUGAAUAGCUUUGCAUGCGAUGAUUAUUGGUUUCCCUGUCACUUAGCCCUCGCAGUUCUCCAUGAAAGGGUAGGAUCUCACCAUAGGCGUACUCUGAUACUAGACUCAUCUGAAUUUCCUUCUGAGAUUAAAGCUUGAAAUGGAGAGUUGAUCAAGUAUUCUGUUCAGGCUGGGCUGGGCGUCGGGGUUAUGCGUGUGUGUGUGUGUGCAUGUGUGUGUGUGUGUGCGUGCACUCGCACAUGUGCUCAUUUGGAGAGGGCAGGCUAAUUCCCAUUGCUCAAUAAAGCAAGGAACAGAUGGCGCUGUCAGUUCUAGGCACAGCACAAUCACACACCAUAUGAGCAUUCCCAAACAGUGCUGCAUAUGCAAACGCAAGCUGCCAACAAUCCCUGUGAUAUUUAAAUCCCCAGAGCUCCAAGAGAGCAUAUUGCACUGCAUUCCUUUGAACAAUAAAAAUUGCUUGACUUUCUGCCUCCUCUCCAAAUUCCUUCCCACUCCCUGCUCCCCAGCGUAAGUUAGAGAUGAGAUUCAAAGUUUAAUUUUCUGAAAUCAAGUCUUUCUUUAGUCAUUUGUUACCUAAAGCCAAAGGACACUAAGACAUUGUGGUACUGGAAAUAAAUGAGUGGGACUCUUCACAAUAAAUGUGAAAAUUAUUUAUUCUGUGAACAAGUAUAUGAAAAACUUUCUAUGGGUAAAUGGAAAAAGCCUAGAUGGAAUAAAUAAUGAUACACAUAUGUACAGUCCUUACCCUCAAGCCACUAAUAAAUCGGAAGAGAUAAGAUACACAAUGUGGCCAGAAUACAAAUUGGGACAUUAAUAGUGUAAAGUGAAAAAAAAUUUCAAUAAGUGAGAUUACUGCUAGUUGACAGGAUAAGGAAAAUUGUAUGGACAGUAGCUGCAUUUGAGUUUGACUUUGAGAAAGUCUGCUUUAAGUUGAGAGGCAAAAGGAGUGUGGCUUACUGGUGUCUAAGUGAAAUGCAUAGAUGGAGUACUAGAGAAAUUCUAUUUCCAUCACUACUCUUUUCACCAUAGAAAAUUAAAAUGAGAAAAAAAUAGAAUAUUAACCAGUUAUGAGAUUUGGGCAUUUUCCUCUCAUCGGAGAGCUCCUUUGCAACAGUUUUCCCUCUGUUUGAAAACUUUCAGUCCAUCUGGAACUCUCACACUUCUGCUUAAGUGUAAGCUGGGACUUCCACUUUGAAAACGUAAAGCUAAACACAGGCUAUUCCGUGAUCCAACUAGUCCCCUUCUAUGUAUAUUUACCAAACGCAAGGUUCUAGGAUCUUCUAGCUGUCCCUUGUAGUCUCAAACUAGAAGCUACCCAAAUGCCCCUGACAUUAAAAUUGAUAAAUACAUCAUCUGAGGUGUUGGCGGUAUACUAUUUCUUCUUGUUGGUUCUGGUUAAUGAGUGUGUUCAUUCUAUGAAAAAUAAUCUAAUUGUACUUCUAUGAUAUUUUCAAUUAGAUAUUUUUAAUUAGAAAAAUAAUCUAAUUGUACUUCUAUGAUAUGUGCA
ensembl:lncRNA